rnacentral:tRNA from 1 species
GCCCGGGUGGCGGAAUUGGCAGACGCGCCAGCUUGAGGGGCUGGUGAGAUUUAUCUCAUGCUGGUUCAAAUCCAGUCCCGGGCA